rnacentral:lncRNA from 1 species
AUGCUGUGCUUUGCUUCCACAGGUGUUUUGGCAAUGAACAGAAAAAAACCAGCCCAAACCUUCUCUACAAAAGUUUUGGAGUUGAGUGUUUUUCCUUGCUGCUGGACAGAUCAAGUUAUAUUAGGCUGCAAAUGGAAGGCCAGGAGUUCCCAGCCCUGCAGAUCAUUCCUCCGGGUGAGCCCCCUUCCAUGGGUCUGUUUCUCAGCCACGGUGAGUGUGGACCUGCUCUCCCAGCCCCCCUUGCUGAUUUUGAGCUUUAGGACUUAAUCUGUAGCCUGCUGAAGGCAGAAGAGCUUUUCCCAGCGUGCUUAAUGCACCCAGCUUGGAAGCACUGCCUUCCUCCUGCACUCAAUACCUGUCGCUGCUACGUGCUUGGUUGUGCAGAGGUACAGCUCAUUUUAUUCCCAUUGCAGCAGUCCUCCCCUCAGCAGCACCCCCAGCAUCAGCACUGCCUGUUAACUGCCUUUUUUUUUCUUUUUUUUUUUUUUUUUCUCCAUCUGAGGCUUUUCAGAGCCUGAAUUUCUUUAGCCAGCAGCAUGCUCAGAUGUGGGCAGUCAUCGGGAUUAGCUGGGGCAGUGGUCCUGGUUGAGGGGACGGGUUUUCUGCGGGAUAAAUCACCCCUGCCACAUCGCUCGGGCUGCCCAGCCGAGGUUACUGUUGCUUAGCUACAAGUCUCUAUAAAAACAGCCCAAGCCACAGCAGAGCAGGCACUGAAGCGCUUCAAAUAUGACAAGACCCAAAGGAUGCUCAUCAGAGGACGCACAGGAACAUUACAAGUCCCAUAUGCUGAGGUUUUAGUGCCCGUGACUGCUAGCUUCUAGCUUACACGGUGCUGAUUACAGGGGAGUGUGCUGCCACCAGCUCUGCUUUCACUGUAGCUGGGGUGUCUGCAGGCUGUGGCUGGGUUUGGGGGGGGGGAAUUACAGAAUAAAAGUCCUUGAAAGGGGGAAAUGAGAUGAGAGAAGGACUCCUUGGGGGCUUCUGCAAGGAAAAGCCCUAAUGAUCUCUGCAGUUGGCUUCUGGUACCUAUUGCAGUGCUAUGGAAAUGUCAGUAGCUGCUUACUCCUCUGACAGGGAUACAAAAUUUUUUGGGGGAAAGGAUAAGAACUGCUGAAGAGAACAACCUGCUGUAGCCUGUCUGUGUUUCUGGAAUUGUCUUGGCUUACACGGUCAGCUCUGUCACUGCUUUCCAGAAAUCAGUUCAAACCUAGUCGGAAAAAUAGCGAGAUGUACAGCCUUUGGCUUGACCAGGCACCUCCCCACCCCUCCUAUAAAUUCUUUUAUGAAUCAUUAAUUAGUGGAAGCAGGUUCCCAUGGCUCAAAAGCAGAGCAGUGAAAAAGCAGAGGUCUCUAGGAUGAAAAGUGAAGUUUCUUUUUAAGAUGUCUUUUAAAUUUAGCAGACUUGGAGGAAAAUUUGCCCUGCCACCCCCCAUUUACUUUGCUGCUGACGUACAACUCCCAGUAGGAAGACUGAUUCCCAGUUAAACCCCGGUUACUGGAGCCAGGCUACAUCACGUGCUGGCAACGCGAGCUGCAGAGCUGCCCUUACGUGUUGUGUGCGUAUUGAUCUGUCUGUCUGCAGCGCUGACGCCCUUCAGCUUCUCCCUGCCAGUUUGCUUUGGUUAGUAGAGCUCUGAGACAGAAUACCAUGGCUGCGUUCUUGCAGCGUCACGAAAACGAGUGCCUGUGAGUGCCCUGGAUAUGUUCCUGGGUCCCAGAGGGGCUGCACGCGAAAGACAGGAGCGCUGUGCUUUGAACUCUAAUUAACAGUCUGGAGGUGAGCUCUCAGCCUGACAGCCAAAUUUAAUCACAGUUAUCUGUACGCAGGAGAAGGCUGCUCUGAACCUCCACGAGGAUCUGCUAGGGCUGUGAACACGAGGACUUGAGCGAUAAUCAAGAUUUUUGGAAGGGAUGUAAUUUGUCAUUUUCCAGGGCAUAAGCCAGCCUCUCAGCAGGAAAGGGCUGUGUGAAACUUGCACCGCUGAGAAUAUUUUAGGCAUGAUGGCAUUACGCACAGUUCUCACAUGCCUGUCUGUAGUGCCAGGGAACGUGCACCAAAAGAGUGCUGACUACUUCUAUCUUGAGCUUGCCCCUUAUUUUCCAAGCUUGAUCUUGUCCCUGUGGACAGCAGGACCUCCUGUUACAUUGCAGAAGCACUUGCUGACUUCUGCCAUAGUCUGCUCUCCAGGUGGC